rnacentral:lncRNA from 1 species
GGGCUUGCAACCGUCACUUAUGUCUUGAGCAGUUAAAAGAUAGAACGGUCUAGUCAAGUGCCAUGUCUCUUGUUCUUCGAUUAACUAUAGCUCUGGUGUUUUUUGAAGAUUUUCAAAUAAAACUCAGAGAUUUUUUGUAUGACUCUCUCUAGUCUCUCUUUUGUGGUAUUUCUGGAUCCUUACCAAGGCAGUAAUGGUGUAUGCCUUCUCUCAAAGUAUGUGGUAUUUUUGGUAUGAGGCAUAGUGGUAUUGCCUUCUCUCUCACCCUACUCUAAUAAGGUUUUGAUAUCUGGAGCUCAUAGGUGGGAGACAGCUAAUACAUACUUACAAGACACUUAUUGUAUAGUCAAACCAUGGAUCUAGAAGAACAAGUCAAUAAGUUAAAUCAAGAUGGGCAUGUGUGGCGAAUGAAUGGUGAUAAUGGUGAAAAUAAUGGUGAAAGUCUAAUUAUACUUUUGCUCUUUUGAGAGGGUACAUACCUUUCUUGCACUUGAGGCUUUCGAGGGGAAUGAGACGCUCUAUAUUUUAUUUAUCUUUACUCUCAGGUGGGUAUCUUGUACCCCUAAUUCUACUGUCGGACACUUGUCUAUUUUUACCUCUCGUCUCACUUUUUCUCUUUUUUUUCGAGGUUUCGGGCACUUGCCCCUUUUUAUUUCCUCGUAUUCACUUUUUUUUUCAGAUCACUCACCCUCCUGGAAUAAUAUAGCAAGUGGUAGUAACCAAAAUAUCUCGAGCAUUUAUUUCACGGCGAAUAACAGGGAUAGGAUAAUGUUUUUGGCUAUUCUCUCCUAGAUAGGAGUAGAAUAAUUUUGGGUGAAUCUAGAUAUGAAAAUGAGUGGAUGUAUGUGGAUGCAUGCUUCUGGAGUAGAAGCAGCAUGUAUGAGUGAACGUGCAAGUGAAUCUUGAUUUUAACCGCAUGACAAGCUCCUAAGGGUCUAGACAGCUUGACCACACUCAAUGCUCAUAAGCAGUAAAAAGUAAAUAUGUGGUUCAUAGUCUAAUAAGCUUGUAUAUAUGACUGUGGU